rnacentral:rRNA from 1 species
GACAACCUACGGGAGGCAGCAGUGAGGAAUAUUGGUCAAUGGGCGCGAGCCUGAACCAGCCACGUCGCGUGAGGGAAGACGGUCCUAUGGAUUGUAAACCUCUUUUGUCGGGGAGCAAAAGACGCCACGCGUGGCGUUCCGAGAGUACCCGAAGAAAAAGCAUCGGCUAACUCCGUGCCAGCAGCCGCGGUAAUACGGAGGAUGCGAGCGUUAUCCGGAUUUAUUGGGUUUAAAGGGUGCGCAGGCGGAAGAUCAAGUCAGCGGUAAACUUGAGAGGCCCAACCUCUU